rfam:Pan troglodytes isolate Yerkes chimp pedigree #C0471 (Clint) chromosome 11, whole genome shotgun sequence.
AAUCUCAACACGGGAAACCUCACCCAGCCUGGACACGGACAGGAUUGACAGAUUGAUAGCUCUUUCUCAAUUCUGUGGGUGGUGGUGCAUGGCCAUUCUUUGUCUGGUUAAUUCCGAUAACAAAUGAGACUUUGAAAUGCUAACUAGUAGAGACGGGGUUUCACCAUGCUGGCCAGGGUAGUCUCAAACUUCUGACCUCAAGUGAUCCACCCGCCUCAGCCUCCCAACAUGCUGGGAUUACAGGCGUGAGCCUCCACGCCCAGCCCC